GUAGGUGGCAAGCGUUGUCCGGGAAUUAUUGGGCGUAAAGCGCGCGCAGGGCGGUCCUUUAAGUCUGAUGUGAAAGCCCACGGCUCAACCGUGGAGGGUCAUUGGAAACUGGGGGACUUGAGUACAGAAGAGGAAAGCGGAAUUCCAAGUGUAGCGGUGAAAUGCGUAGAGAUUUGGAGGAACACCAGUGGCGAAGGCGGCUUUCUGGUCUGUAACUGACGCUGAGGCGCGAAAGCGUGGGGAGCAAACAGGAUUAGAUACCCUGGUAGUCCACGCCGUAAACGAUGAGUGCUAAGUGUUAGGGGGUUUCCGCCCCUUAGUGCUGCAGCUAACGCAUUAAGCACUCCGCCUGGGGAGUACGGCCGCAAAGGCUG
rnacentral:rRNA from 1 species